UGGAACAAAAACAUUUUAAACAUAGAUCAUGCUUACAAGAGGGAUUAUCAUGCAACUCGGUCAAGCACAACUUCUAAACCUCAAUCUCAUAAUCAAUAUUUACAUAACAUAACUAUUCAUAACUUUACAUCAUUUUACAGUUUGUCAUGUCCACAUUCUAACUAUUACAACUCAAGACUUCAUUCACCUUGACUUCUCUGUCUAGCCUGUACCUACAACCCUGGGGGAUUAGGGAAAAGGGGUGAGCUACUAGAGCCCAGUGAGCAGAAUAAUAAAACAUUUAAAUCAUAUGCUAUAAUGGAAUGCAACACAUCACAGACAAAUCACAUCACGGAUGGUAUUGUCACCAAGAGUCCUCUACAUUCCAAAGUGCCGGGACGUAGAAUGGGUCAACCGGUCUUUCUCUUAACAUAACAUAACAUAACAUAACAUAACAUUCCAAUGUGCCAGGGACGUAGAAUGGGUACAACCUGGACUUUCUCUUACAUAGUGCCAGGGACGUAGAAUGGGUACAACCUGGACUUCCGUACCAUACCGUAUCAUAUCACAUCGCAUCAUAUCGAGGACUAAGGAUCAUCCAAUAACCAUCCACAUCAUCAUCAAAUUAUGCAAUGCAACAUAUUCAUGAAUUCUAAUGCAACAACCUAGAAUAUCACAUAGCAUUCGUGAUGCAUGAACAUGUUCAAAUCUAUAUUGAUUUGCUUUAAAACAUAAGUGUUUAUUCUACUCACCUCAACUAGCUCUGACAAUGACUGAAGCAGCUGAUUCACUGCUGGGGUCCUCG
rnacentral:lncRNA from 1 species